GACGAACGCUGGCGGCGUGCCUAAUACAUGCAAGUAGAACGCAGUUGCGAACGGGUGAGUAACGCGUAGGUAACCUGCCUCAUAGCGGGGGAGAACUAUUGGAAACGAUAGCUAAUACCGCAUACUGUGAGAUGGACCUGCGUUGUCUUUGCUAGUUGGUGAGGUAAAGGCUCACCAAGGCGACGAUACAUAGCCGACCUGAGAGGAGGACAAGCCACAAUGGGACUGAGACACGGACCAGAAUCCUAAGGUAGGCAGCAGUGGGGAAGUUUGGACAAUGGGGGAAACCCUGAUCCAGCCAUCCCGCGUGUGCGAUGAAGGCCUUCGGGUUGUAAAGCACUUUUGGCAGGAAAGCGGUACCUGCAGAAUAAGCACCGGCUAACUACGUGCCAGCAGCCGCGGUAAUUC
rnacentral:rRNA from 1 species